ACGGCGAGUGAAGCGGCAACAGCUCAAAUUUGAAAUCUGGCCCUUUCAGGGUCCGAGUUGUAAUUUGUAGAGGAUGUUUCGGCGAGUGCUCCCGUCUAAGUUCCUUGGAACAGGACGUCAUAGAGGGUGAGAAUCCCGUAUGUGAUGGGUUGCGCGAGCCAUGUGAAACUCCUUCGACGAGUCGAGUUGUUUGGGAAUGCAGCUCUAAAUGGGAGGUAAAUUUCUUCUAAAGCUAAAUACCGGCCAGAGACCGAUAGCGCACAAGUAGAGUGAUCGAAAGAUGAAAAGCACUUUGGAAAGAGAGUUAAAAAGUACGUGAAAUUGUUGAAAGGGAAGCGCUUGCAACCAGACUUGCCCGCAGUUGCUCAACCCGCCUCCUGGCGGGUGCACUCUUCUGCGGUCAGGCCAGCAUCAGUUCGGGCGGUCGGAUAAAGGCGCCGGGAAUGUAGCUCCUCUCGGGGAGUGUUAUAGCCCGGUGCGACAUGCGGCCCGCCUGGACUGAGGAUCUCGCUUCGGCUAGGAUGCUGGCGUAAUGGUUGUAAGCGGCCCGUCUUGAAACACGGACCAAGGAGUCUAACAUCUAUGCGAGUGUUUGGGUGUCAAACCCAUGCGCGUAAUGAAAGUGAACGGAGGUGGGAACGCGCAAGCGUGCACCAUCGACCGAUCCUGAUGUCUUCGGAUGGAUUUGAGUAAGAGCAUAGCUGUUGGGACCCGAAAGAUGGUGAACUAUGCCUGAAUAGGGUGAAGUCAGAGGAAACUCUGAUGGAGGCUCGCAGCGGUUCUGACGUGCAAAUCGAUCGUCAAAUUUGGGUAUAGGGGCGAAAGACUAAUCGAACCAUUGGGUGUCGGCGGAUAUUCCACAAAUGUACUUGUUCAAGUAUUAUUUGGCAAUAUUCUUAGCUACUAGGUGGUUAAGAGGGGGGCAGUGAUGCUCCCUUAGUCCCCCGUCCGGGGCGACACCGUCAAAUUGCGGGAACACCCUUAGAGCUUGAACUACCGCGGCCAGGCCGAAAGGCAUGGUGCAGCACCUGGCGUAACUGCCAUGGGGACGGUAACAACGUUCAAGAUUGGGCAACCACGCAGCCAAUCCCUAACCCACCGAGCGGUGGCAUGGGGGCAGUUCACAGACUAAAUGGCGGUGGGUAUACA
rnacentral:rRNA from 1 species